rfam:Solanum tuberosum cultivar DM 1-3 516 R44 scf00268_55, whole genome shotgun sequence.
AAUCACGAUGACGACUCCAUAAUAUUCAAGCUCAACAGACCGGAUUGCAGGCUUCUCUAUUUUUAGAGUUUGCUUGCGUGUCGAGUACCCCGCUGAACUGAGUGAUU